AGAUGUGAGGGCGAUCUGGCUGCGAUAUCUGUCACCUCAUUAAUUGCCAGGGUUGAUUCUUCUGAUCUGGCUGGCUAGGUGGGUGUCCCCUUCCUCCCUCACUGCUCCAUGUGCGUCUCUCCUGAAGCUGCAUGCUCUGUCCAAAAGGAUGACCAUCCCUGAUAGAGGAGGACCAUUCUUUGGUCAAGGAUAUAUGACUAGCUCCGCUCUCCUGCUAACCUCCAAAUGAGCUCUCAAGGACUGGUUUUGCAUAAUUCUGAGUGAGGUUAGCCAGGCUCAAAAGACCAAAAAUCGUAUUU
rnacentral:snRNA from 1 species